AUUUGGCGGCAAUUUGUGGCCAUAACCUAGUAAACGGUUACUUCGUUAUCGACUCAGGAGUUGGUUAUAAAUCGUCGUCGUGAUCAGACUCGCCAGAACGCCGCCAUUAGAUAUAGUGUUUCUUUUCGAAUAAUUAGGUAUCUAUUUUGUACUUAUUCCCAUCUAAUCACUGCUAAUCGGUAUUACUGCCAGCUAAUUUCAGGGAAAUGCGAGCACAACGAAAACAAGUACGAUGAUAAGUGCCACGGGACACGACCAGCUUCUCCGCCAGGAAAACAGGAAGUCUGCACGCGAUGCACGGAUCUCUUCGUAUGCCCAGACACGACGCCACCUGUAUCAUUUCAAAUUUUCAGGUGAUUAAAACAAGUGACUUCUGCGAAGCAACUGGAAUGACCAAUCGCCAAACGAUCAACAUGGCGUCGUACUCGCGUUGGUGGGCGAAAUUCGAUUAUAAAGUCUAGCAUGCAGGUGAUAGUCAAGUAACAACUUUUACGAUUAUAUCACUUAAUGGACGAAGUACGUCUACAAUGUACCGUUGCCGCACGAGAAGAGUGAACUUGGCACAGUGACCAUGUUAAAAACCCUUUAGUAGUGUGUGUGCCUAACUUAGGUAUCGUAUUGUUCAUUCUUUUCGUGUGUCAAUGAUAAAUGUACGAUGUGUUGUUCAAGGUAAAUGUUAAAAUGAAUAUAAAAGAGACUAAUGACUAAACAGCAGGUGAUGCGAGAAAAAUGUAAACAAAAAUUCGUGUCAUUUUUCAUGCAGAAUAUAAGAGUGUGAAAAGUGUUUUUCCAAUUUUUCAAGAUCACCUUGUGAUUUUGAAACGAGGUAUUAUGUACUAUACUGUUGCUUCGGCACCAUGAAAGAACAAAAAAGGGCGAAUUCAAUAAAAUAAAAUUUGUUUUUAUUUAACUUUUCUAUCUUCAUAUUAUAAUAUCAAUGUUUUGGUUUAAUACUGUGUUAUAAUUGUUAAUACUGUUAAGUUAAGAUUAUACGUCUAAGUUAAUGUUACAGGUUAAUACAAAUAUUAAUUUAUUAUGAGUCUUUGUUUCUGUGGAACACUUUAACACUUCCGUCCCGUUCAGGCAGCUGCUCCAAAAAAUGAGAUUCACUGGAGACAUAGAUGGGUCACGGACAGGGAAUGAGGUAUGAGAUGAAUGUGACAAUUUUGAGCAUGUUCUGUAAAUAAAGUAAGUCACGUAGCAGAGAACUUAAUGCUUGUGCGUGUCAACAAUUUAACUUUUAUGUGACUUUCGACCGUUUCAAGGUCAUUUCAAAGUAGCACGUCGAAUUCGUCUGUUUCUGUUCUUUCAUGGUGCUGAAACAAAAAUAUAGUUUUCGAUUUAAAAAAAAAAAAGAAACUCGAAGCGACCUUCACGAAUUCUAUGUUUUACAGAAAAAAAGACGAACAAAGUCUUGUCGUUUUUCUGGUAUCUCUUACUGUUUAGUAAUUAUCUCAAGCGGCACGUAUUUAUAAAUACCUUGUAUGACGCAUACUGGAUAUAACAAACGUUGGAAUAAUUUUAACUAAAUGAACGCAGUUUUCACAUUAUGGAUAAUAAUUUGAAACAAAAUAUUAAUGAGGGACCAUUACGGAGGGAGUGAGAAAUAAACACGAUGAUGUUUCAUACAAAAAUUCACGUACCUUUUGUUUCGGAGACUCGGACGUUGGAACGAUCCUUUCACCUUCGGCUUCCGAUGUUCUAUUCACUACAAGUCGGCUUGGGGAAGAACCUAAAACAGUAACAAGAAAAAGAGUAACAUUUAAAAACUUGAACUGUACAAAUUUUGCUAUUUUUGAGUUUGAUUCGAUAUAUUAAUUUCGAAUAACGGAAAAACGAUAAAGAAUAAGAUUUUAUUUGUUUUAAGAACACUGCAUUCAUUUAAUAUCAAUAUUUUUUAACGAACAUUCGCCGUUGCGCAAUUGCAACAUUGCACGACCUGCAUGUAGAAUCGAAAAACAGAAUGCAAAACAAAAAAGUGCAGUGUCAGGCAUAACACUGUGCGACAUGCCGUGCGUCGGAUUGCGCAAACGACAAGCGCAAAAUUCUGAACCCUAAAAUUGGUGAAUUCCAUGAAAGACUAUAAAAAUCAUAAGAAUAAAGGUUCACAAAUUAGUCAGAAUACUUAUAAAUCGUUAUCUCAUUCUCUUCUUCUAUCGAUUCGAGUGCACUUAUUUAUAGCUUAUUAUUACUAAACGUACAUUUCACUGAAUCAACACGCGCGUACCGUCGUUAUUAUAACAUAUUCAACAGUAAACGCUAUUACUGUAAUCAAACACACUUGGCAAUACAAGUGAACAAAUUGAUA